AAGGAAUAUUGGACAAUGGAGGCAACUCUGAUCCAGCCAUGCCGCGUGAAGGAAUAAGGCCCUAUGGGUUGUAAACUUCUUUUAGACGGGACAAAACCCCUUUACGUGUAAAGGGUUGAUGGUACUGUCAGAAUAAGCAUCGGCUAACUUCGUGCCAGCAGCCGCGGUAAUACGAAGGAUGCAAGCGUUAUCCGGAAUCAUUGGGUUUAAAGGGUGCGUAGGCGGACUGAUAAGUCAGUGGUGAAAGCCUGCAGCUUAACUGCAGAAUUGCCAUUGAUACUGUUAGUCUUGAGUACAGUUGAGGUAGGCGGAAUGUGUCAUGUAGCGGUGAAAUGCUUAGAUAUGACACAGAACACCGAUUGCGAAGGCAGCUUGCUAAGCUGUAACUGACGCUGAGGCACGAAAGCGUGGGGAGCAAACA
rnacentral:rRNA from 1 species